rnacentral:rRNA from 1 species
UACGGGGGGAGCAAGCGUUGUUCGGAUUUACUGGGCGUAAAGAGCGCGCAGGCGGUCGCUCAAGUCGCGUGUGAAAGCCCCCGGCUCAACUGGGGAGGGUCACGCGAUACUGAUCGACUGGAAGGCAGGAGAGGGUAGUGGAAUUCCCGGUGUAGUGGUGAAAUGCGUAGAUAUCGGGAGGAACACCAGUGGCGAAGGCGACUACCUGGCCUGUUCUUGACGCUGAGGCGCGAAAGCUAGGGGAGCAAACGGG